rnacentral:rRNA from 1 species
AAGGAGACGACGGAGGAACUUCUUGCAAGGCUGAAUCUGCAAGAGGAAGAGGAUGACGCUUUUGUGUGGGAAGAGGAAUUGCCGGAUCUGAGAGAGCCGGCGAAGUGGCUGGAAAUAGCCAGAGUUCAUACUACAAGAACUUUCAGCCCUAAUGCUCUGUAUGGGGACAUGUGUGCUGCAUGGAACCCGGCGAAAACAAUUGUUUGGAGGAAGAUUAAGGAAAACUUAUUUACUGCCCAGUUUGGAUGUUUAGGGGACUGGAACAAAGCUAUGGCUGAGGGGCCUUGGCUGUUCAGAGAUCAAGCGGUCAUCAUGGUUGAUUACGAUUGGUUCAAAAACCCUGAUAGUAUCAAGCUGGACAAGUUGGCGGUGUGGGCACAAAUCCAUCGGCUGCCUGACAACUUCCUGAUAGAGCCUGCUGUUAGAGGGAUGGCAUCACACAUUGGAGAAGUGGAGGAAGUGCAACUGAAGUUACCGGCAGGUUUCUUUGGUGAGUUUGUCGGAGUUAGGGUGAAGAUAGAUAUAAAUGCAAAAAUCAGAAGGUUCGUAACUGGAAAAAAGGGAGAUGAGAUGGUAAGAUACCAAGUCAAGUAUGAGAAACUUCCGAUCUUCUGCUAUAACUGUGGUGUGUGUGGACAUUGUCAUGAGGAGUGCGGUGACGGAGUUCACGAUUCAACGAAGUUUGAAUGGGGAGAUUUUGUGCUGGCUGAUGGUGUACGUUUCAGGCAAGCUGGGUGA